rnacentral:lncRNA from 1 species
UUUUUUCAGAGGUGAAAAGAGCCGGGAAGUCGGGGCCUGCGCGGGGCGGAGGCUGCGGGGCGCGGCCUCCGGGACUCGAUCUCGCAACAAAGGAUCGCGGGGCCUCCCGCCCCAGGACCUACCCGCCCCGGGAUCAGCCUCCCCCGCUUGGGCACCCCGGGGACCGGCCUGCGGUCCCGUCGGGGUGGCAGGCAGGAACCCCCUAACCUUUGCCGGCUUCUGUUCCAGGACCCCCCCGGAGUGGCCAUGUCCCACGGUCCCCGGCAGCCAGGCGCAGCCACCGCACCUGCGGGAGGCAAGACUCCGGGCCAGCAUGGGGCCUUUGUAGUGGCUGUCAAGCAGGAGCGCAGCGAAGGUCCCCGUGCCGGAGAGAAGGGGCCCCAGGAGGAGGAGGUGAGUCCCCAUCUGAAAAGCCUGUCCCGGGCUGGGGAUUUAGCUCAGUGGUAGAGCGCUUACCUAGGAAGCGCAAGGCCCUGGGUUCGGUCCCCAGCUCCGAAAAAAAAAAAAAAAAAAAAAAAAAAAAAGCCUGUCCCCUGGCUCAGCAACACACACCUCACAAGUCCACACUGUAUAAGACCCUCCCACUGCCUAGCAAGAGGCCACGCCCCCGCCCAUCCUGUCAUUGGCUUCAGUCCCACCCCUAGGAGGUUGUCUCCGCACAGGACAAUUGGCUCUCUAGAGUUCUGACCCUUGAUCUGCUGUCCCACUACUAGGCUAGGCCCCGCCCACACGCCCCAGACCCCGCCCACAGUUCUCAGAGCCCCU